GCUUUGCGCUCUGUCCUCAUGGCCUAUAAAUAGCAUUUCAUAAAGCAGGUCUCUUCUGUGUCUUACUAGUCCCUUGAAUAAACUUUUUUUUUCUACAAAGAGAUAAAGGCAUGCAUCAGUCCUGCAGAAAGAGCUAGGUGGUACCUCACCAUUCUAGGCCACACAAUGCUAUGACGUCCCACACACUGCUCCCCACCCACCAUCCUGCAGCACAGCCAGCCCUGCCAGCAUCCUGGGCACCACCACGAGGCUCACCGUGCCUUUGUUGCACAGGAAACCAGUUGAGCCUGGAGGGGGCUGAGGAGCUGAAAGCAGAGUGAGUCAGUGAGACAGGCCCAUGCAGCAUGCCUUAUGGCAGCCCCCACACCUCUCUGCUGACCCACAGAUCUGAACACAGGCAAUUCUCAAACACACCUCUGCAGUGCCUCAUCCGUCUAUGCACCAAGUAACCAAGAGCAGGACCUGAUCUGCAAGCUGAGCUUUUCCAAGACAACAAAAUAAAGCCAGAGCGGAGUUAACUAACA
rnacentral:lncRNA from 1 species